rnacentral:rRNA from 1 species
AACGAACGCUGGCGGCGUGCCUAACACAUGCAAGUCGAGCGAGAAAGGGGGAGCAAUCCCCUCGAGUACAGCGGCGCACGGGUGAGUAACACGUAGGUGAUCUCCCCUCCGAGCCCGGAAUAACCUACCGAAAGGUGGGCUAAUACCGGAUAUGACCACGGGAGUUUCGGUCUCCUGUGGUGAAAGAUGGCCUCUACCUGUAAGCUAUCACUCAAGGAUGAGCCUGCGUGCCAUUAGCUAGUUGGUGAGGUAAUGGCUCACCAAGGCUAUGAUGGCUAGCUGGUCUGAGAGGAUGGCCAGCCACACU